UUGGCUUAUUUUCUCUUACCUUUUUAGUCAAAUAUGGGAAUAAAGACUUCAAGAGAAAUGUUGGUUUAAAAAGUGAUAAUGACAUCAAGAAACACACUCAUCGCUUCUUCCUGCAUGCCUUCUAUCUCGGUGGGACUGGAAAUAAAAUGUUAUGACUUAAAUCACAAGAGGCUAACAUCAUUUUUAGCAACAAGGGCUGCAUAAUUUCAAGACUAUGAGCUGGAGAGGACCGCGGUUUGUUUUUGCGCUUGAGGGACCUGUUUGUUACAUGCUGGGUGCGGACAGAGAGAGCAUGCUUUGUCUUGAAUGCUGCAGAAACAGCUGGAGUUUAACAAAUCACUUUGAAAACUGUAACGUGGUUGAAGACCUGAAUAAGUCCACGAUCAAUCCCUGUUGGAUCUUAGUAAGGUGUUUUGUCAUUUAGAUGCAGAAGACACUGAAAAUGUUUCCUUCUCCUGAGGCUGUGGGAAGAGUCCGGCAUUCCCAUGGGAACUUUGAGUUUGUGUCAUGACCAUCUGAGGAGAUGCUUCCCUGAGACGUUUUUUACUCUCUGUCCCUGGAUUCUCUCUAGUGCACGAGAAGGUGACACUGGAGUAACAUAUCUUUUCCACGAACUAUAUUAAAUGUGAGCAGAAAAUAACAAUUUUCUUUGUUGUUUGAUAUUUCCCCAAUGUUCAUUUUGACACACUUCUGCUACUUACUGUAAAUUCUGUAUAAAAUAAAUAUUCUCAGAUAAUCAGCUGUAGUAAAAUAAAAUGAGCAAAGAUAUA